CCUACGGGCGGCAGCAGUGGGGAAUAUUGGGCAAUGGGCGCAAGCCUGACCCAGCAACGCCGCGUGAAGGAAGAAGGCUUUCGGGUUGUAAACUUCUUUUCUGAGGGACGAAGAAAGUGACGGUCCCUCAGGAAUAAGCCACGGCUAACUACGUGCCCGCAGCCGCUGUAAUACGUAGGUGGCAAGCGUUAUCCGGAUUUAUUGGGUGUACAGGGCGUGUAGGCGGGAAAGCAAGUCAGAUGUGCAAACUCAGGGCUCAACCCUGAGCCUGCAGUUGAAACUGUUAGUCUUGAGUGCUGGAGAGGCAAUCGGAAUGCCGUGUGUAGCGGUGAAAUGCGUAGAUAUACGGAGGAACACCAGUGGCGAAGGCGGAUUGCUGGACAGUAACUGACGCUGAGGCGCGAAAGCGUGGGGAGCAAACAGGAUUAGAUACCCGAGUAGUC
rnacentral:rRNA from 1 species